rnacentral:rRNA from 1 species
CCCUUAGAUGUUCUGGGCUGCACGCGCGCUACACUGAUGCGCUCAACGAGUUUACGACCUUGCCCGGAAGGGUUGGGUAAUCUUUUUAAAACGCAUCGUGAUGGGGAUAGAUUAUUGCAAUUAUUAAUCUUUAACGAGGAAUUCCUAGUAAGCGCGAGUCAUCAGCUCGUGCUGAUUACGUCCCUGCCCUUUGUACACACCGCCCGUCGCUACUACCGAUUGAAUGGUUUAGUGAGAAUUUUGGACUGGAACUCCCUUGCUCAGCAAUGGGCGAGGGGGAGUCCGGGAAGCUAUUCUAACUGUAUCAUUUAGAGGAAGUAAAAGUCGUAACA